UACUAAGUGUCUUAAUUCCUGAAGUGAAA
rnacentral:piRNA from 1 species